rfam:Brassica napus, WGS project CCCW01000000 data, contig: 4667
AGGAGCUGGAUGAGAAGAAACUCUCACGUCCAGUUCUGCAGUAGAGAUGGAAUUUCUCAUUUAGAAAAAACCCAUCAACUAUAAC